rnacentral:rRNA from 1 species
AACGUAGGUUCCGAGCGUUAUCCGGAUUUACUGGGCGUAAAGCGCGUUCAGGCGGUUCGGCAAGUCGGGCAUGAAAUCUCUCGGCUCAACCGGGAGAGGUUGUCCGAUACUGCUGGACUUGAGGGCAGUAGAGGGUGAUGGAAUUCCUAGUGUAGAAGUGAAAUUCUUAGAUAUUAGGAGGAACGCCGGAGGCGAAGGCGAUCACCUGGACAGAUACUGACGCUGAGGUGCGAAAGCGUGGGGAGCAAACAGG